GCUUGCCAUGGCGUCUGCAUGCUGACCCUGCCGCCCGUGCGGCCGGGGCACGGAGGGGCUCGGGCCAUGUGCACGACCAUCAUGGUCCUCUCCACCCUGGCCAUCAUCCUGCGCCGACGGUUCUCUAACCAAGUCAGACCACACACAGGAGAAGUCAGAGAGAAGGAGAUGGCCUACGUACAGACAAGCUCUGAGCCAGCGAAGAAAUGACUACCGCAUUGCCCCAAGACCCUGGGUCAAGUCCGCCUCUCUGGACCAGUACCCACACUGACCAUUAGGCGGCGAUGGAGACACACCUUCCUCUCCCACCCCUGGCUGCCUUCUUCGUGUUGCCCUCCACUGACAGCUCAGCGGCUUUGACUCUGCCGUGUUCAGUGACUGCGGAGCUCCUGAAAUACAGCAGAACGGGAUCCGGGACGGAUCAACCUAAAGCGGUGUUGAUGACAUCACUACACUUAGGAGACGCUAGCGACCUGACUGUUGCCCUGACCAGCUGGAUCUCACUUCCCAAAAUGCAACAUUGCCCCCUGUACACUCAAUCUCACAUACAUACUUUCUCCCUCUGCCUGUCUCUCGGGUUUUUUGCUUUUUGUUUUAACUCAUAUCUGUUAAUGUUAAUAUGUUCGUUAAAUGAUUUUGUGUUGAUACUGUCUCUGCCAGACGAAUUGUGCUGUGAAACCUGAAAUAUUGCUUAAAGCUUUACCUCUGCAGUACAUGUAGUUGCUUUUACCCAAUUUACAAUUCAAUCAUUCAGUAGAUGCUUUAAGCCAGAUUGACUUACAAAAGUGCAUUGUACGUGGUACAUUUUAUAAAAAUAGAAUUUCAAUUAAAUUCUUAAACUCAUAGCAGAUGACAUAUUUCUUAAGUCUUUUACAUUGAGUGUAUAUCAUUGUAUGGUUUCUGAAUGAGUAAAAUCGUAGUGACAUUUUAAUUUGAGUUAAAGAAUAACUCUGAAGGUGCAGUCUGCGCUCACACAGCUCCAGUAUGAAGGACAGUUAAAAUAAGUCAUUUUGAACAGCAUACCGCUAACACUGAUUAUGGAACAAUGGAAAUGUGAAAAUAUCAAUUAAACUAAGCCAUGCGUGUCUAAUUCAGUUUGAGAGAUCGUAUUGCGCAACUCGAUAAUGGGGCUUUCUAGUAAAAACGCUGAGAAACGCCCGCACGCGACACGAUCAUUUUCCUGGGAAUAAUGGAAUAGUGAAAGAAAAUAAAUUGCGUGGUAAUGGAGCAUACUGCUCAGCCCUCCGCAAGACCGAAUCUACUUUCCUGACGUAAAAUUGUGCGGCAGCUGACGCCCACAGUGUUCAUGGCCCAGCUAACACGAAGCAUUCCACGCGCCCUUUUGGCUCUGGAAUGCAGACUCCGCCUGACUCGAAGUGAUAAAGAUGCCGCAAAAAGAGUAGUCCUCGUAUACGGCCGUAUAUUUUUCGCCGCCCGAAUUUUGUGGGGACGGAAUCAAACCGCAAAGCUGCGUAUCUAAACAUGUCCGACUGUACAGCGGACCCUUUCUCUGACCUCCUGUUUUGUUUUGUUUUUUUUUUUUUCAUCUCGGAGAAAUCUCAUUCUCCUCUGUAAAACAAAUGAUUUUUUUUUUCAUGUGAGCUAUGAAGCAUUUUCUGUAUCCUGUUUUCUGUGCUAUUUCCCAUCUGUCCACGCUGAGAGCAAAUGUGGACGAGAGCCUACAGUGAACGCACCUCCCGCACAUCUGUAAUGUCUCCCACGCACAGGGCUACGGUGUGACUCCAGUGUGGCUCCUGAGUGCUAAUAUGACAUCUUUCUUGAAAUAUGCAACCUGGCAAGAGGUUGAAUCUUCUCAGCAAUCAAUGGUGCAGAAUGAGCUGAAAGCUUGGAUGUAAUGAGGUAUUUUUUGUUUUUGUUUUUGUGAGCAGUCAAACAAUUUAAAUUAACUUGGCCUUCGACCUGUCCCUGACAAAAAGCAGGCUGGUCACUACAACCUGGACUCUGUCAGCUGACCCCCCCUACAGCACAGCACAAUUGAGCUCUGUUCUUUGUUCCUCCUGUCCGAUUAAAUAAAUAAAUGAUUGAAUUGUU